UACAGAGGGGGCAAGCGUUGUUCGGAAUUACUGGGCGUAAAGGGCGCGUAGGCGGCCACCUAAGUCAGACGUGAAAUCCCUCGGCUCAACCGGGGAACUGCGUCUGAUACUGGGUGGCUUGAAUCCGGGAGAGGGAUGCGGAAUUCCAGGUGUAGCGGUGAAAUGCGCAGAUAUCAGGAGGAACACCAGCGGCGAAGGCGGCGCUCUGGGCCGGAACUGACGCUGAGGAGCGAAAGCGUGGGUAGCAAACAGG
rnacentral:rRNA from 1 species